UACGUAGGGUGCGAGCGUUAAUUGGAAUUACUGGGCGUAAAGUGUGCGCAGGCGGCCGAGCAAGUCGAGUGUGAAAGCCCCGAGCUUAACUUGGGAACUGCGCUCGAAACUACUUGGCUAGAGUGUGGCAGAGGGAGGUGGAAUUCCACGUGUAGCGGUGAAAUGCGUAGAGAUGUGGAGGAACACCGAUGGCGAAGGCAGCCUCCUGGGCCAACACUGACGCUCAUGCACGAAAGCGUGGGGAGCAAACAGG
rnacentral:rRNA from 1 species